GGACCUGCCGUUUAAUUAAAGUUGUUUCAUCCCUUAUCGAAUGAAUCAGGUGCAUAGCAGUAGGAUUGUCGUCCAGGCAUUGCCUGCACCUGGGACUCCAGACUAUUGGGACCCUAAGAAGAGUAAGCGUGGUUUUUAUCCGAAAAAACUGAACAGCAAAGCUAUUUGUAGCAGAGGGCCUUAUCGAAUGAAUCAGAUGCAUAGCAGUAGGAUUGUCGUUCAGGCAUUGCCUGCACCUGGGACUCCAGACUAUUGGGACCCUAAGAAGAGUAAGCGUGGUACUUAUCCGAAAAAACUGAACAGCAAAGGUAUUUGUAGCAGAGGGCAUUGUAACAAUGAUGUGGAUGACGUCAUUCCCCAGCAGUCAAAAAGAAUAAGAAACAAGCAAAAUA
rnacentral:lncRNA from 1 species